rnacentral:rRNA from 1 species
GUGGGGAAUCUUGCGCAAUGGGGGAAACCCUGACGCAGCAACGCCGCGUGGGUGAUGAAGGCCUUCGGGUCGUAAAGCCCUGUCAGGUGGGAAGAAUUGUGUCGGUGUUAAUACCACCGAUGCUUGACGGUACUACCGGAGGAAGCACCGGCUAACUCCGUGCCAGCAGCCGCGGUAAUACGGAGGGUGCAAGCGUUGUUCGGAAUUAUUGGGCGUAAAGCGCGUGCAGGCGGUCGGGUAAGUCAGAUGUGAAAGCCUUCCGCUCAACGGAAGAAGUGCAUUUGAAACUGCUCGGCUGGAGUACGGGAGAGGAGAGUGGAAUUCCCGGUGUAGAGGUGAAAUUCGUAGAUAUCGGGAGGAACACCAGUGGCGAAGGCGGCUCUCUGGUCCGAUACUGACGCUGAGACGCGAAAGCGUGGGGAGCAAACAGGAUUAGAUACCCGGGUAGUCC